GUGCUCACUUCAGCAGCACAUAUACUAAACUUGGAAUGACAAAAGAGAAGACUAGUGUAGUCCCUGUGCAAGGAUAACACAAAUUUGUGAAACAUUCCAUAUUUUU
ensembl:snRNA U6 U6 spliceosomal RNA